UACGUAGGGCGCAAGCGUUGUCCGGAAUUAUUGGGCGUAAAGAGCUCGUAGGCGGUCUGUUACGUCCGCUGUGAAAACCCGGGGCUUACCCCGGGCUUGCAGUGGAUACGGGUAGACUAGAGGCAGGUAGGGGAGAAUGGAAUUCCCGGUGUAGCGGUGAAAUGCGCAGAUAUCGGGAGGAACACCGGUGGCGAAGGCGGUUCUCUGGGCCUGACCUGACGCUGAGGAGCAAAAGCGUGGGGAGCGAACAGG
rnacentral:rRNA from 1 species